rnacentral:rRNA from 1 species
UGGGGAAUAUUGGACAAUGGGGGCAACCCUGAUCCAGCCAUGCCGCGUGAGUGAUGAAGGCCUUCGGGUUGUAAAGCUCUUUUGGCGGGGACGAUGAUGACGGUACCCGCAGAAUAAGCCCCGGCUAACUUCGUGCCAGCAGCCGCGGUAAGACGAAGGGGGCUAGCGUUGUUCGGAAUUACUGGGCGUAAAGCGAGUGUAGGCGGUUGCCGUAGUCAGGUGUGAAAGCCUUGAGCUCAACUCAAGAAAUGCACUUGAUACUGGGUGACUAGAGGACCGGAGAGGAUAGUGGAAUUCCCAGUGUAGUGGUGAAAUACGUAGAGAUUGGGAAGAACACCAGUGGCGAAGGCGGCUAUCUGGACGGUUACUGACGCUAAGACUCGAAAGCGUGGGGAGCAAACAGGAUUAGAUACCCCCGGUAGUCCACGCCGUAAACGAUGGGUGCUAGACGUUGGCGAGCUUGCUCGUCAGUGUCGCAGCUAACGCGUUAAGCACCCCGCCUGGGGAGUACGGCCGCAAGGGUUGAAAACUCAAAAUGAAUUGACGGGGGUCAAAGCUG